AGGUCAUUGAUUUGUUGUUAUAGAAAGUAUUUGUGUGGCUUUUUGUUAAACUGCAGUAAUUACCAUUCCAAGACCUUCACAAAGAGAAAGAAUCAGACUGCCUGAAGAGAACAAUCAGGAUUUUCUCACCUCAAUAUGCUGAAGCAUCAAGGGUGAUAAUCAAUUCCAGAUGAACACACACAGUGAUGCAGGUGCCCUCGCACAACUAGACAUCAUCAAGACGACCUGCCAGCCACCUUCGGCACAGAGGACAGCAGAAGAGCAAAUGUCACUAUGUUCCAUGCCAAUGUGUUUCCACAGGGAGCAUAAAUCAUGUGGCACCCAAGGUGGAAAGGAAGUGUGAAAAAAGGCCUGGAGAAAUCUAGCACACUUAUAUCGGUUUUAGUGGCAACAACAUAAACAGAUGGCUUUUGUAGCCCAAACUUAA